rnacentral:rRNA from 1 species
UACGUAGGGUGCAAGCGUUAAUCGGAAUUACUGGGCGUAAAGCGUGCGCAGGCGGUUUUGUAAGUCUGACGUGAAAUCCCCGGGCUCAACCUGGGAAUUGCGUUGGAGACUGCAAGGCUGGAGUCUGGCAGAGGGGGGUAGAAUUCCACGUGUAGCAGUGAAAUGCGUAGAGAUGUGGAGGAACACCGAUGGCGAAGGCAGCCCCCUGGGUCAAGAUUGA